rnacentral:lncRNA from 1 species
AGUCAAACAACAUCCCAGAUGAGCUGUGGGUAUAAAAAUAUGUCAAAUUUAAUCACUUAUCUUUAUGUAUCUUGAUCAAAAGGUGAUGGUUCAGUUGAUGAUAUAUUAAAAACUCUUUUCUAAUUAUCAUCCUAUUUUGGUCAAAGACUUCCAGAAUCACCGACUUAUGAGAUCAUAUAGGAUAUUCGCUCCUUUUAUUAAAAGUGACUAAUCUCUUAUUGAUCAUUCAAAAUCUCCAUGCA